AGUGAACGCUGGCGGCAGGCCUAACACAUGCAAGUCGAGCGGAUGAAGGGAGCUUGCUCCUGGAUUCAGCGGCGGACGGGUGAGUAAUGCCGAGGAAUCUGCCUGGUAGUGUGGGAUAACGUCCGGAAACGGGCGCUAAUACCGCAUACGUCCUGAGGGAGAAAGUGGGGGAUCUUCGGACCUCACGCUAUCAGAUGAGCCUAGGUCGGAUUAGCUAGUUGGUGGGGUAAAGGCCUACCAAGGCGACGAUCCGUAACUGGUCUGAGAGGAUGAUCAGUCACACUGGAACUGAGACACGGUCCAGACUCCUACGGGAGGCAGCAGUGGGGAAUAUUGGACAAUGGGCGAAAGCCUGAUCCAGCCAUGCCGCGUGUGUGAAGAAGGUCUUCGGAUUGUAAAGCACUUUAAGUUGGGAGGAAGGGCAGUAAGUUAAUACCUUGCUGUUUUGACGUUACCAACAGAAUAAGCACCGGCUAACUUCGUG
rnacentral:rRNA from 1 species